rnacentral:rRNA from 1 species
UCUUCCACAAUGGACGCAAGUCUGAUGGAGCAACGCCGCGUGAGUGAAGAAGGUUUUCGGAGCGUAAAGCCCUGUUGUUGGUGAAGAAGGACAGAGGUAGUAACUGGCCUUCAUUUGGCGGUAAUCAACCAGCAAGUCACGGCUAACUACGUGCCAGCAGCCGCGGUAAUACGUAGGUGGCAAGCGUUGUCCGGAUUUAUUGGGCGUAAAGCGAGCGCAGGCGGAAGAAUAAGUCUGAUGUGAAAGCCCUCGGCUUAACCGAGGAAUUGCAUCGGAAACUGUUUUUCUUGAGUGCAGAAGAAGAGAGUGGAACUCCAUGUGUAGCGGUGGAAUGCGUAGAUAUAUGGAAGAACACCAGUGGAGAAGGCGGCUCUCUGGUCUGCAACUGACGCUGAGGCUCGAAAGCAUGGGUAGCGAACAG